ensembl:lncRNA
CCGGCGGCGUGUGAGCCCGCGCGGCCUCCGUCCGUCUCCUCAGCGCCUCAGGCGAGCGGCCGCGGCCCCGGCUGCCCCGAGGGGGCGAGCGCCGGCGGCUUCCUCCGCCUCAGCCGCCGCCUGCCUCCGCGGGAUCUGGGGCCGCAGACCCGGCGUGCAGCCGGGGUGGCCUGAGGAGACUCCGGGCCCUGUGGGGGCGGCGGGCGGCGCGAGGAGCCACCCCCGGCCCAGCCGGCGCGCCUGGGAAAACGCGGUGCCCCAGAAACGACUGCGGGGAAUUGCAAACGUCUAGACACCGGAGCGCCUCGAGCAGUGCACCCCUGGGACCUAGCCCUCGGUUUCCACAGUAUUCGGGCAGUGUGCAGCCGUUCCUUGAAAGAUUUUUGAAGAAAAACACAGUUUUGCUUUCUUCAUGGUUGGGUUGUGCCACUCAGGCUUUGACCGGGUCCUCGCAGGGCAUUCGGGUCCCAUAUGUGGUCAAGCUGACAAGUGCGGGCAGUUCUGCCUCUGAUUCUCCUUGCCGCUCACUUUCACAGCUCCAUUGCAAACCAUGAAUGCCUCUUUUUUUUUUCUAACUGGCUCCCUGGUUUUUGAUUUUAUUUCCCUCUGUCU